rnacentral:rRNA from 1 species
AGAGGGGUGCAAGCGUUAAUCGGAAUGACUGGGCGUAAAGGGCGCGUAGGUGGGACUGUCAAGUCAUAGGGUGAAAUACCCCCGGGGCUUAACCUGGGAACUGCCUGUGAAACUGACAGACUAGAGUAUGGGAGAGGGAAGUGGAAUUUCCGGUGUAGCGGUGAAAUGCGUAGAUAUCGGAAGGAACACCAGUGGCGAAGGCGACUUCCUGGCCUACUACUGACACUGAGGCGCGAAAGCGUGGGUAGCGAACAGGAUUAGAUACCCUGGUAGUCCACGCCGUAAACGAUGAGAACUAGAUGUUGGGCGGCUUAGCCGUCGAGUAUCGAAGCUAACGCGAUAAGUUCUCCGCCUGGGGAGUACGGCCGCAAGGCUA